UCCUUUACGAAGGCGAAGUGGUUGAUGCCCUGCUUCCAAGAAAAGCCUCUAAGCUUCAGGUAACCAGGAACCGUACCCCAAACCGACACAGGUGGUCGGGUAGAGAAUACCAAGGCGCUUGAGAGAACUCGGGUGAAGGAACUAGGCAAAAUGGCACCGUAACUUCGGGAGAAGGUGCGCCGGUGAGGGUCAAGGAUUUACUCCGUAAGCCCAUGCCGGUCGAAGAUACCAGGCCGCUGCGACUGUUUAUUAAAAACACAGCACUCUGCAAACACGAAAGUGGACGUAUAGGGUGUGACGCCUGCCCGGUGCCGGAAGGUUAAUUGAUGGGGUUAGCGCAAGCGAAGCUCUUGAUCGAAGCCCCGGUAAACGGCGGCCGUAACUAUAACGGUCCUAAGGUAGCGAAAUUCCUUGUCGGGUAAGUUCCGACCUGCACGAAUGGCGUAACGAUGGCGGCGCUGUCUCCACCCGAGACUCAGUGAAAUUGAAAUCGCUGUGAAGAUGCAGUGUAUCCGCGGCUAGACGGAAAGACCCCGUGAACCUUUACUGUAGCUUUGCACUGGACUUUGAGCCUGCUUGUGUAGGAUAGGUGGGAGGCUUUGAAGUGGGGACGCCAGUUCCCAUGGAGCCAUCCUUGAAAUACCACCCUGGCAUGCUUGAGGUUCUAACUCCGGUCCGUCAUCCGGAUCGAGGACAGUGUAUGGUGGGCAGUUUGACUGGGGCGGUCUCCUCCAAAGCGUAACGGAGGAGUACGAAGGUGCGCUCAGCGUGGUCGGAAAUCACGCGCAGAGUAUAAAGGCAAAAGCGUGCUUGACUGCGAGACGACAGUCGAGCAGGUGCGAAGCAGGUCAUAGUGAUCCGGUGGUUCUGUAUGGAAGGGGCACGCUCACGGAUAAAAGGUACUCUGGGGAUACAGGCUGAUCCGCCCAAGAGUCAUAUCGACGGCGGUGUUUGGCACCUCGAUGUCGGCUCAUCUCAUCCUGGGGCUGUAGCCGGUCCCAAGGGUAUGGCUGUUCGCCAUUUAAAGAGGUACGUGAGCUGGGUUUAAAACGUCGUGAGACAGUUUGGUCCCUAUCUGCCGUGGGCGUUGGAAGUUUGAAGGGGGCUGCUCCUAGUACGAGAGGACCGGAGUGGACGAACCUCUGGUGUACCGGUUGUGACGCCAGUCGCAUCGCCGGGUAGCUAUGUUCGGAAGAGAUAACCGCUGAAAGCAUCUAAGCGGGAAACUCGCCUUAAGAUGAGACUUCCCCGGGGACUUGAUCCCCUUGAAGGGUCGUUCGAGACCAGGACGUUGAUAGGUCGGGUGUGUAAGCGCAGUAAUGCGUUCAGCUAACCGAUACUAAUUGCCCGUACGGCUUGAUC
rnacentral:rRNA from 1 species